GUAGGUGGCAAGCGUUGUCCGGAAUUAUUGGGCGUAAAGCGCGCGCAGGCGGUUCUUUAAGUCUGGUGUGAAAGCCCACGGCUCAACCGUGGAGGGUCAUUGGAAACUGGAGAACUUGAGUACAGAAGAGGAAAGCGGAAUUCCACGUGUAGCGGUGAAAUGCGUAGAGAUGUGGAGGAACACCAGUGGCGAAGGCGGCUUUCUGGUCUGUAACUGACGCUGAGGCGCGAAAGCGUGGGGAGCAAACAGGAUUAGAUACCCUGGUAGUCCACGCCGUAAACGAUGAGUGCUAAGUGUUAGGGGGUUUCCGCCCCCCUUAGUGCUGCAGCUAACGCAUUAAGCACUCCGCCUGGGAGUACGGCCGCAAGGCUG
rnacentral:rRNA from 1 species